UCCGUAGGUGAACCUGCGGAAGGAUCAUUACCGAGUUCAUGCCCUUACGGGUAGAUCUCCCACCCUUUGUAUACCAUACCUUUGUUGCUUUGGCGGGCCGCCUAGCUACUGGCUUCGGCUGGUAUGUGCCCGCCAGAGGACCCAAAACCCUGAAUUAUUAGUGUCGUCUGAGUAAAAUAUUUAAUAUUUAAAACUUUCAACAACGGAUCUCUUGGCUCUGGCAUCGAUGAAGAACGCAGCGAAAUGCGAUAAGUAAUGUGAAUUGCAGAAUUCAGUGAAUCAUCGAAUCUUUGAACGCACAUUGCGCCCCUUGGUAUUCCGAGGGGCAUGCCUAUUCGAGCGUCAUUAUCACCCCUCAAGCCUAGCUUGGUGUUGAGGCCUGCUGUCAAGGCAGCCUCUAAAAUCAGUGGCAGUGCUGUCAGGCUCUAAGCGUAGUAAAUCUAAUCGCUAUAGACACCUAGUGGCCACUCGCCAGAACCCCCCAUUUUUAAUGAUUGACCUCGGAUUAGGUAGGGACUACCCCG
rnacentral:rRNA from 1 species